GCUGGACAUGGUGCCUGUAAUCCAAGUGCCAGGGAGGCUGAAACUGGUGGAUGGCUUGAACUGGGGGGGUUCUGGGCUGCAGCGAGCUGUGCUGAGCAGGUGUCCGUGCUAAGUUCAGCAUUGACAUGGUGGUCCUGGGGGAGCUGGGGGCCACCAGGUUGCCUAUGGAGGGGUGAACUGGCCCAGGUCACAGAUGGAGCAGGUCAAAACUCCUGUGCUGAUCAGAAGUGGGAUGGUGCAUGUGAACAGUCCCUGUAGCACAGCCUGGGUGGGAGAGCAGGACCCGGUUUCCU
rnacentral:SRP_RNA from 1 species